UACGGAGGGUGCGAGCGUUGUCCGGAAUCACUGGGCGUAAAGGGCGCGUAGGCGGCCUGAUAAGUAGGGGGUGAAAUCCUGCGGCUUAACCGCAGGGCUGCCUUCUAAACUGUCGGGCUAGAGCACGGUAGAGGCAGAUGGAAUUCCCGGUGUAGCGGUGGAAUGCGUAGAGAUCCGGAAGAACACCGGUGGCGAAGGCGGUCUGCUGGGCAGUAGCUGACACUGAGGCGCGACAGCGUGGGGAGCAAACAGG
rnacentral:rRNA from 1 species